GUAUGUAAGUGCCAGAGUUUAAAUUAGCUCUUCUUGACUUCACAGCUUUCCAAACUCUGGGAGGAUUCCAGAUGAAGGAGACAAGGUUCUUGAUGAUCAGAAUCCUCUAAUCCCGCCAAGGAAACUACCAAGCAUGGCUAUCCAGGAUGGAGGUAGAGGUGCCUUGAGGAUUGAGGUAGAACUGUGCAUUUUCUUUCUUCUGGCUCUACUUGGAAAGUUGGUCAGCGUCUUUGCCGAUAUCUUGUAUUUGAGGCUUUGUACCACAGGUCGUGAUUGAUUUACCACAUAUUUUCGUAAGCCUUCCUCUAACUGAGACAGCAUCACGUUAGUAGGGAAUUCAAGUUCACUGCUGAGAAUAUCACUCAGGCUACAGCCGCUGUACCUCUAAAUGAUAAAUUCACUGGUGGGUUCAUCAAGAGAUGGCUGGACAAUCGAUGCACAGUGAAGCUCGCAGCUAAAAAACUGCCCAGAGGACUCCUUUUGCUACGGUCUGCUACCCUUACCACAUUCAUCCUAUGCAGUGUCUUCCUUAAUGGGCAAGUGAGUAUGCUCCUCCUUCAUGCUCACCUGUCACCUGACUUCACAUCCACUUGGAUAGUUCAGAAUAUAUGUGACAGCUAAGCUUGAAAGUUUUCCUUUAGCUCAAUUGCUUUCCUGUAGGGAUUGUUCUUAAAAAUUAAGAAUGUAGGUUGAUUGUUAGAAAGGGUUUAUUGAGGGCCUACUGUGUGCCAGGUGCUGUACUAGGACUGGUUGGCAUCUGGUCUAUAUAAUCUAAGUAAUCCAAAAAGGUAACUCAAUUCUGUCUUAAAAACCAGUUGGGGGCAGCCUGGGUGGCUCAGCGGUUUAGCGCCAACUUUAGCCCAGGGCGUGAUCCUGGAGACCUGGGAUGGAGCCCCAUGUCGGGCUCCUUGCAAGGAGCCUGCUUCUCCCUCUGCCUGUGUCUCUGCCUCCCUCUCUCUCUGUGUGUGUCUCUCAUGAAUAAAUAAAUAAAAUCUUAAAAAAAAACA
rnacentral:lncRNA from 12 species